AACGACUCUUCUUUAAACUCUGGCAUCCUUGACAGAUCUCAUUGACAUACAAUUUUCCAAUCAUCCUGUCCCACCAUCAAAAUGAAUAACAAAAUUUUUGGUGCUCUAAAAAGAUUUUAUGCAGUUUGUUUCAGAGACAAUCAAUUUAGUCACAGAAAAUGUCGGACACCAGUUCCUCAUCUCCAAAGCAACUACCCAAAGCGGAACACCAUCAAGUUGGCGACGGUCCAGAUCACACCCACGUUGAAACUACUCUCGUUCAGAGUCUCGAAGAAUUACCUUUACUUGAGCUUAGCAAGGCCAGGGACGGACUUACUAGAGUUCAAGGAACUUUGUACUAAUGAAGGAUAGAUUUAAAUGAUUUUUUAUUCUAUUGUUAUAGUGGUAAGGUAUAUUGUUAUUUUUAGAUUUUAGAUGAUGUUUUCAUUGUUUUUUUUUUACUUUAGUCCAUAAUUUUAAAUGUUUAUUUUUUAUUUCGUUUACUUUGUACGCUUGAAUUUUUACAUAUAUACGGAAUAUACAUUCUGAUUUAGUCAAUAUAGUGAAAUGUUAUAUU